UACGGAGGAUCCGAGCGUUAUCCGGAUUUAUUGGGUUUAAAGGGUGCGUAGGUGGCCUGGUAAGUCAGGGGUGAAAGACGGUAGCUUAACUAUCGCAGUGCCUUUGAUACUGCCGGGCUUGAAUAUACUAGAGGUAGGCGGAAUGUGACAAGUAGCGGUGAAAUGCAUAGAUAUGUCACAGAACACCAAUUGCGAAGGCAGCUUACUAUGGUAUGAUUGACACUGAGGCACGAAAGCGUGGGGAUCAAACAGG
rnacentral:rRNA from 1 species